UUUUACGUAGGUGCUGCAUGGUUGUCGUCAGCUCGUGCCGUGAGGUGUCGGGUAAGUCCCAUAACGAGCGCAACCCUACCUUUAGUUGCCAUCAGGUAAUGCUGGGGACUCUAAAGGAACUGCCUACGCAAGUAGUGAGGAAGGCGGGGAUGACGUCAAAUCAGCACGGCCCUUACGUCCAGGGCUACACACGUGCUACAAUGGCCGAUACAGAGGGCAGCUACCUGGUGACAGGAUGCAAAUCUCCAAAGUCGGUCUCAGUUCGGAUCGGAGUCUGCAACCCGACUCCGUGAAGUUGGAUUCGCUAGUAAUCGCGCAUCAGCCAUGGCGCGGUGAAUACGUUCCCGGGCCUU
rnacentral:rRNA from 1 species